rnacentral:rRNA from 1 species
UACACUCCUACGGGAGGCAGCAGUGGGGAAUUUUGGACAAUGGGCGAAAGCCUGAUCCAGCAAUGCCGCGUGCAGGAUGAAGGCCUUCGGGUUGUAAACUGCUUUUGUACGGAACGAAAAAGCUCCUUCUAAUACAGGGGGCCCAUGACGGUACCGUAAGAAUAAGCACCGGCUAACUACGUGCCAGCAGCCGCGGUAAUACGUAGGGUGCGAGCGUUAAUCGGAAUUACUGGGCGUAAAGCGUGCGCAGGCGGUUAUGUAAGACAGAUGUGAAAUCCCCGGGCUCAACCUGGGAACUGCAUUUGUGACUGCAUGGCUAGAGUACGGUAGAGGGGGAUGGAAUUCCGCGUGUAGCAGUGAAAUGCGUAGAUAUGCGGAGGAACACCGAUGGCGAAGGCAAUCCCCUGGACCUGUACUGACGCUCAUGCACGAAAGCGUGGGGAGCAAGCAGGAUUAGAUACCCCGGUAGUCC